GUGCCAGCAGCCGCGGUAAGACAGAGGGUGCAAACGUUGUUCGGAAUUACUGGGCGUAAAGCGCGUGUAGGCGGCAUGACAAGUCGGAUGUGAAAGCCCUGGGCUCAACCCAGGAAGUGCAUUCGAUACUGCCGUGCUAGAGUCCCGGAGAGGGUGGUGGAACUCUCGGUGUAGAGGUGAAAUUCGUAGAUAUCGAGAAGAACACCGGUGGCGAAGGCGGCCACCUGGACGGUGACUGACGCUGAGACGCGAAAGCGUGGGGAGCAAACAGGAUUAGAUACCCUGGUAGUCC
rnacentral:rRNA from 1 species